UUCAUCUACAAAUUCCACUCACAUGGCUUUGGUCAGCCCCCAAGGCUAAAGAAGACACUCAAGGUGCAAUGCAGUGGAGGUGAACUCAGAACCUCAUGGUUGGGAAGCAGGCUCCUUCCCACACAACUAGACAAGGGCCAUAAACAAACCAAUACUACUUGUCAAACAGUGGGGGGGGGAAGCUGACACAAAAAUAACCCCAUACACACACACACACACGUGUGCAAUCAUCAGUAAAAUAGAGUAGAUCUGCAGAAAUACAAUGUACAACUUCAGAAACCAAGGUUAAACAUAAAAGAUUUCAAUUUUAUUGGGAUUCAGGUUUUACCUAGUUUUGCUCAUACAAUGACUGCAGCUGAAUAGAGAGAGAAAAAAAAACAUUUUAAAAAAAAUCUGAUUCGUCUUUUCAAAGAAAAUGA